rnacentral:rRNA from 1 species
CCUACGGGAGGCAGCAGUGGGGAAUAUUGCACAAUGGGCGAAACCCUGAUGCAGCGACGCCGCGUGAGUGAAGAAGUAAUUCGUUACGUAAAGCUCUAUCAGCAGGGAAGAAAAUGACGGUACCUGAGUAAGAAGCCCCGGCUAACUACGUGCCAGCAGCCGCGGUCAUACGUAGGGGGCAAGCGUUAUCCGGAUUGACUGGGUGUAAAGGGAGCGUAGACGGUGCGCCAAGUCGGGCGUGAAAUGCCGCUGCUCAACUGCGGAACUGCUUUGGAAACUGGCGAACUAGAGUGCGGGAGAGGUAAGUGGAAUUCCAGGUGUAGCGGUGAAAUGCGUAGAUAUGAGGAGGAACACCGGUGGCGAAGGCGGCUUACUGGACCAUAACUGACGUUGAGGCGCGAAAGCGUGGGGAGCAAACAGGAGUAGAUACCCGAGUAGUC